UUAUGUUAAAAGUUAGUUUGUAAGCCUGUGAUGGCUGACUCUGGAGGACUUCAGUGGUUUGGACGACAUAUUUAAGGAUAUUUUCAACCACAUUGCCAACUUCUGUACACUGAUAUGGAGUUAACUCUCCAGAAAAAUAAGUCUGCAGCUGAUUGCCAGCUAUUUCCCGUACAACUAAAUGAACUAUGGCUUGUGAAAGCAUUCUGCAACCACUGGUGACACGAUUUUGUAUGUUCUCUUGAGAUCCAAAUUGCAGCAAGAGAUUAUUAUAAAUAGUCUGAACUACUAAUUGUAUAAUUUCAUAAUCAAUAGGAUGUAAGGAUUCUACAUACUGUACAAUCAUAUGUUCAUCUUUGGAGAGCUCUGUCAGAAUUGUACUCACUAACUUCAUUUGAAGGAAAUCCAGUCCUGUGUAUAAAUUAUCCUCACAUAUUUCCGUGGUAGUGUUGGCUACUGUUGAGAAAAUUUUUGAUAGAAGACAAGAAAUUAUACUCUCUAAAAAUUCAUGAGACAGCAUUACGGUAUAUGGCCAUGAUGUCUGACAUUCUUUGCAGGUUGUUUGGGGAACCUUUUGGACCUUUUUAAUAAACUCCCUAGAUUCUAGAGGCAAACGUACUGAAGCUGGAAAUUGAUCAUAAAGUAGCAAGUCUAACCGAUGCUGAAAAAUUUCUUCCAUUACUGCGCUAGCUAGCCUUCUUGCUAAAUUUUCACCGUUACUAUUUAUGUCCUUACAAAUGGAGUCCUGAGAUCUAUAUUCCUGUGAAAUAUUGCAUACAGAGGAGUGAGCAAACUUAUUGACCAAUGUUUUAUCAAUUGAUGGUGUUUUAGCCAUUAAAGGUAUUUCACGUGAAAAAGGUGUUUGUUUCAGUUGCAGGUGGCAUUCUACGCAUGGAUGGUAUUUUACCCAUGAUUAUCAUUUUUCUCUCAGGUGGGGCUUUAUCCACAGAUGGUUUUUUCUGCCUGAGAGGUACUUUAUGAACUGAUGAAACGUUACUUGCAGAUGAAAAGGACUGAUUUUGCUCAUCUGGGUUUAAUACUUUCAUUUGAGCAUCUGAAAACUCUUUUAACAGGGAUCAAUCAGUUUCAUAGCCGCAUCAUACAACUCAUCUUGAUUUACAUCACUGGUUGCAUUUUGACAUGCAUCGUCUGUGUCCGGUGAGGAAGAAAAAAUCAAUUUGUUAACUAUCUCAGAGAUAACAUCUUCUAAAAAGUUGGCAGGCAAAAUCCCAGAGUUAUUAGUUUCUGGUGGGUUAUCUCGUUAUCUUUACUUUUCUCAUUCUUUUCCUUGGUUGUAGGAACAUUUUGGCUAGCUGAAUUCACUAAAGCAGGCUGUGCAAAAUCCUUGCCAUCCACCUGAGUUACAUAGGCUGCUUUAUCAUUUAGGGGACUUUGGGAUUUUGAAUCAUAUAUUGGUCCUCGAAUAGAAGAUAUUUCUAAAACAUGGCUGUAAAAGCUUUUAGGGAUGUUUGGGAUGUAUUUAGCACGCCAGAUUUGUUUGUCAUCCAUAAGUCCAUAAGUGGGAGAAUCUCUCCUCUUCUCUUGGGGCUCUCUGUUUUUCAGCUUAGAUUUCAGGGGUGGUAGUUCAAAAGGCAUAUCCUUUUUUUCUAAUGAACUUUCUCUUUUCUUGUCACUAUUCUUUUUAUUGUCUAUUUUAAAAUCUUGUUCCAGUCCAAAGUUCUUGUGUUUUGUGUCAUUGGUAGCUGGUGAAAAAUGUUGGUAUGCUUCAUCAUCUUGCUCUUUUUCAUCCUUUCUAGCUGAACCGUCUUUCUUCUUGAUUUCAUCCUUUGUAAGUGGUGCAUUCAAAUUUGGCCCCUGAGUAUCUUUACUUUUCGCACUGGUUGUUGGAGAAGUAACUUUGGAUACCUUCUCAUUGUCUUCUCUAACUGAACUUCUUUUCUUUUCAUUCCCUUUCUUUUUAUCUGCCACACCUCCAAAUAACCCUGAUGCUAGGGUAGUUACUGUGCUCUUCUUAAUGCCAGUUUCAGCAGUACACAUUGGCUCAUGGAUGCUUCCUUUUUUCAUUGAUAUCUACUCCUUUUGGAAAUCCUCUUUGCCCUUGAAUGCUCCUCUACUUAUUUCCAAAGCAUCCAUUUUGUUUUUCAGGCCUGAGGUGGAUGGUUGUUCAGAAGAAACUGGGUUCUCCUUUAAGCUUCUGUUCAUCUUUGUGAAGGUUUUAUAUGGCAAAUGUUGAAUCCUCUCAAUAAUGUUAUCUACAUCUAGAGAAGAAGAGAAGGUAGAAGACCAGUCUCCUGAAAAAAGUGGUUGAAUCUUAAAAGAAGAGAUCACCUCAUUGGCUAAAGCAGGAAUGAUCUCAAUAACAAUGUUCCUUGUAUCAUCUUUCUGAACAUUGUGAGAUCCAUACAUUUCCAUAACCUCAUCAUACACAGAAUUGGAUACUUUAUCAACUGUUUCUUUAUCUAUUGGUGGAAAAGAAAACAUUUCCUCAGCGUUUGCUAGAACUUUAAUUUCAUUAUUCCUAAAUUCCCCGAUCAGGGCAUUUGCAAAAUUUAUAGCCAUGCCCAUGAGGUCUUGUUCUGAUAUUUCUUUGUCCUCAGGAUUUUCAGCAGUACUUGGGAGAGUACAAAACUUGUGAACAAGGUCAAUUAUAACAUCUUCCAAAAACAUAGCAGAAUACACAGAAGCCUGCCGUAAGAAUGGUGGUUUUUUUCUUUAUCGGGAUUUGAGAGUUCCAUGACAUGGUCAUUUGAUAUGGGAGAUGACUGUUGAUCACAUAAGAAGGGCUGCAGAUGGCGAUCCACAAUUUCCUCGAUAAUAAAACCAGCUAUGCCCCCAAGGAAGGAGCUUCCCUUUUUGCAUGUAUCUUGGAAUUUAAACUUUUUCAUAAUAUUGUAACAUAUGGAGUCAACGAAGUUCUCAGUUGCCUCUAGUGGCAUGCUUUCUGUUUGCUCCUCUUCAGGAGCAAGUCUAAUCUCAUGUUCAGAAAUUUCUGUUAUUAUUUCAUCAGUCAGUUUUGAAGCUGCAUCCACAAAGUCAUAAUCUGGCAUCACUUCCUCCUUUAGUUCAGUUUCAGUCUCAGAUGGAGGGAAUAUAUGUGUUAGAAGCUUGUAAAUCAUAUCUUCUAAAAGGGAAUGAGGCAAAACCAUGAUGCAUGGUGGUAAGAUGUGCCUACCAUCGUUGAUGAUGUCGAGUAUAUUUCUGAUGUUUUCAUCUUGGAGAGUGGAGUAAGAGGAUGUUGCUAAUUCUCCUGCAACUAAAGACUCCACUUGAUAAUCAUAAAUUUCUUCUAAUAGCAAGCAAUAUAUCUUCCUUCCAAAACUGAGGGCACCAUUUUGGAUAGCCCUAUAAAUAUGAAUCAGAGACUUAUAAUCAUCUAAUAUUUUUUCAUAAAUUAGGUUGACAGUGUUUUGAACCAUUUCUUUAUAUCCUUCUGAAAAAUACAGAUUGUUAUCCAAGUUAUCUGCAAGUAAAAUUUGUGAUGUGGUGAACUCCAGCACAAUUGAUUUUACUAAUGUUGUAACAAUAUCAGUAAUGUUGGCUUUUGCUUUCUGUGGGUUUUCAGCAGCCAAGAUAUUAUGUGAGAAUACAUAAAGAAUUUUGCACAAAAGCUCAGAAAUUACUUCCUCCAAAAAGACAGGUGAAUUCACAAUAAAAGAUAAUUCUGUUUGUUUAGGAUCUCUUGCUCUCUGUUUGUAAGUUUGAGCAGCUAUACCUGAAGGAAGAGUUUUGCCUCUAGGUAAAAAUGACUGAAGAUGAUGGUUAACUAUUUCUUUUAUUAUAUAACUUGCUAUUUUUGUAACAUGUAUAUUAUUUAUCCCGUUUUUGUCUUUUGUAAGAGACUGACAUAGAUUUGAAUGAGAAGUAUCAGUAUAAAUGGCAUCAACCAUGUUGAGCCUAAGAAAUAUUGAUUUAUAGAAAUGCCCCCUAUAUUUUUAGAGACAGAAAUGAUUUCAGGAGUUUUGCAAGGCUUUGCCCUGAAGGACAAUGUGAAUAUGUUAGUUUGCAUAUCAAAAGCUGCCUCGCCUCAGGAGGGCCUCUCAAUGGUCAGCAGCAGCUGCUUUCUAAGGUGAUGCUGCAGUCUCAGGCCUGUGGUUCUCACCUGCUUUGAAAGACAAAGCAGGUUUUGCUUGGAGCCAUGGGAGAGGGAGCUGAUCAAUAAAGACAGGCCGCCCGGAGAUGAGAGCUGAUCAAUAAGAUAUGCCACCCGAGCCAGGGCCUGAGCCGGGGCCCAGAUGGGCCCACACGGUUAAAGUAAUUAGCAUAAGGGACAACUCAUGCUUGACUUCUGAAAUCUCUAUUCUAAUACACAAUAUCCAGAGCCAUGAUGUCUUUGUUUAUGCUAAAGUGAUAGCUUUAUCUUAAAACUUAGAAGUUUGCCCUAAAAAGAUUUUGUAACCAUUUGUUCACAUAGAUAGAGUUAAUUAAGAGAUCUGUAGAAGCCUUUUAGUAGCCUUUGAACCUAAACUGAACUACCUGUUAUUAUGUAAAUCCUGUUAUCCCUGGCAACCGAAAACUGUACCUAUAAAUACCUAUGCAAAACUUCAGUCACGGUUUCACAUUCUGAUGGGAAAGACGUGUAAUCCUCUGAGUACCCUCCUUUGUCUAUCUUCAUAAAUUUAUUCUUUAUAAACUAUAUUUUUGCCUCUGUGUAUUAUUUUUAUUUCUAUUUCCUACUAUUUUUUUCAUCCUUUGCAACGACCCGUGCCUGAGGGACCCGAUUUUUUGCUGGGAGCGUAGCUAACUCCUGGCAAACUGGUGUAGUCGGCAGGACCUUACAACAGGGUCUUGAAGGCAAAACGCUUUGCUUGAAGUGAAGAAUAUUCCCGUAUAGCGUCACAAGGGACCCGGAGAAGGCCAAGAGUCGUGUGCACGGUACCCAGAGUGAGAUGAUGGACAGUCUGGAUUCCAAGCAGACGAAUCAAGCCCAGAAUGGAAACCUGAGGGGAAAAAGCAGAAGACACAUCAGGCACAGACCAUGACAUGGGGACAGCUGAAGAGAACAUAUGAAGAAGCAGACAGGAUAUUGGACUGGACAUCUUAACCUAAAAUGUCUGUAAACCUUUUUCUUGCCAUGAUCUGUAUGGUGAGCAUGGUGGUAAAAGUGUCUGGCAACCAGAACUAUCAUUAUUGGGCCUAUAUUCCUAAUCCACCUUUAAAUAAGAUUGUCAAUUGGGCUGACAUGCCUUUCGUAGUAUUUGUUAAUGAUUCUAAUUGGCUACCAGGACAUUAUGAUUAUCGUGGUCCAAUGAAACCCAACAAAGAGGGCACCAAAAUUAAUAAAUAUGAAGUUGGGACAGAAGGCCCUCCUAUAUGUAUUGGUAAAGGUAUUCAUUGUUUGAAACCUGCUACCCAAACCUGGUUAGUCACCAGCAAUUCAAGCGGUGAUAAAACUAAAGUUCAGUUAUUCCUUCUAACUGUCUCUUCUUUUUCUUCUUUUGGGCAUUCUAAAAUGGCACCCACAGACGUACACAUUUGUAAGGAAGUAAUAAUUUCUGACCCUAAAACCUGGGUACAAUGCGAAAUUGUAGAGCUCACGUGGGGUGCAUUCUUGCUGGGUCCACAUCUUGUGGUUUUGUAAUAGACUGGAGUCCCUAUGGACAUCCUGCCUCCUCUCAAAAUUUUAAAAAGCUUCGUUGGAAUAAAGCUGCCACCUCAAUGUCUGUAAAAGACACUGACCUUAAAAGUCAUAUUACAUGGCUCAAUAAUGGUAUGAGCUCUCCAGCCCCUCAUAUUUUAGAUGGCCCUAUUCAUGACCAAUUGUGGAAAUUAUCAGCUGCUUUGCACCCUUUGCAGGCCUAGAUUAGAACAUACAUUGGAUACAAACAAUAGCCAAGAAUGGACUUUUAAUUUGAAUUCUACUCAUUAUAUCCAAGUUUGUGUUAGACUGCCUUACUUGUUUAUGAUUGGACAUGCUGUUUAUAAUGAAUCUUCUUUCCUAGUGAUCUGUAUCAACUGUUUUUAUUAUACCUGUACUGACAAUUUCAUAAAGUUCAAUCCUUAUAAAGAAACCCAUUAUAUUCUCAAAGCCAGAACAGGACUAGUGGUUACCUGUUAAAAUGAAUAGAGUCUGGCAAGAAACCCCAGCAAUGUUCCUUUUAGACAAACUACUUAACCACAUUCUUAAACGUACAGAUUUUUUGGUCUCCUAAUAGGAACUAUUUUGGGAAUCACUGCUGUCACUGCUUCUGUGGCCACUGCAGGUAUGGCUCUGCAUCAGACCAUUCAGACCACUAAAUUUGUUCAAAAUUGGCAUCACAAAUCAAAUCAAUUAUGGUCUACCCAAAAUCAAAUUGACAGCAGAUUGGUUAUUCAAGUGUCUGACAUACAACAAGCAGUCACCUUAUGGGGAGACCAGGUUAUAAGUCUACAAAAGCAACUUAGAUUCCAUUGCGAUUGGAAUAUCACUCAAUUUUGUGUUACACUUCAUAUAUAUAAUCAAACUCGAUUCCCUUGGGAAAACAUUAAAAACAUCUACUUAAGGAAAUAUGACUAAAGAGAUUGGAAACUUACAACAAGAAAUAUUAAGUACCUUCAGUCAUAAACUUAAUUUGCUCUCUGAGGCUGACAUUAUUAAUGACAUCUCUUCUGGUUUGGAGUCAGCUGAUCCACCUUAUCAUCUUAAGAUCUAUGGGAGUUCCACUAUAGUAAAUUUUGGCAUUAUUUUAAUCCUUUGCUUGUGCUUAUUUAUAGUCUGGAGAAAGCUCAGAAGAAGACAAGAAUCUGGAGACCAACGCCUCGCUCUGAUCGCUGUCCAACUCCAUCAACUUACUUUAAAAAAUAAAAAAGAGGGAGAUGUUGAGCCUAAGAAAUUUUGAUUUACAGAAAUGCCCCCUAUAUUUUUAGGGACAGAAAUGAUUUCAGGAGUUUUGCAAGGCUUUGCCCUGAAGGACAAUGUGAACAUGUUAGUUUGCAUAUCAAAAGAUGCCUUGCAUCAGGAGGGCCUCUCAAUGGUCAGUAGCAGCUGCUUUCCAAGGUGCCACUGCAGUCUCAGGCCUGUGGUUCUCACCUGCUUUGAAAGACAAAGCAGGUUUUGCUUGGAGCCAUGGGAGAGGGAGCUGAUCAAUAAAGACAGGCCACCCGAGAUGAGAGCUGAUCAAUAAGAUAUGCCACCCAAGCUGGGGCCCGAGCCAGGGCCCAGAUGGGUCCACGUGGUUAAAGUAAUUAGCAUAAGGGACAGCUCAUGCUUGACUUCUGAAAUCUCUAUUCUAAUACACAAUAUCCAGAGCCAUGAUGUCUUUGUUUAUGCUAAAGUGAUAGCUUUAUCUUAAAAUUUAGAAGUUAGCCCUAAAAAGAUUUUGUAACCAUUUGUUCACAUAGAGUUAAUUAAGAGAUCUGUAGAAGCCUUUUGGAAGACUGUGAAACUAAACUUAACUACCUGUUAUUAUGUAAAUCCCAUUACCCCUGGAAAAUGAAAACUGUACCUAUAAAUACCUAUGUAAGACUUCAGUCACGGUGGCACGUUUUGACGGGAAAGAUGUGUAAUCCUCUAAGUAUCCUCCUUUGUCUAUCUUCAUAAAUCUAUUCUUUAUAGACUA